CCAGACCUGCAAAGGUAAUCAGGUGCUCAACUCCUAUUUAGGCACCAGCCUCCCACUGAAGUCUGAAAUAGAAGUUAGGCCCCUAAAUAUCUCUGUGGGUCUGG
ensembl:miRNA